rnacentral:misc_RNA from 1 species
CUGUUCGAGCGUCAGUACAACACUCAAGCUCAGCUUGGUCUUGAGCCCAGCCGGUCACGGCAGGUCAUUAAAUCAGUGGCGGCGCUCCUGGCUCUAAGCGUAGUAAUACUCCUCGCUAUUGAGUCCCGGUGGACGCUGGCCAGCAACACCAACUUUCUAAGUUUGACCUCGGAUCAGGUAGGGAUACCCGCUGAACUUAA